GACGAACGCUGGCGGCGUGCUUAACACAUGCAAGUCGAACGGAAAGGCCCUGCUUUUGUGGGGUGCUCGAGUGGCGAACGGGUGAGUAACACGUGAGUAACCUGUCCUUGACUUUGGGAUAACUUCAGGAAACUGGGGCUAAUACCGGAUAGGAGCUCCUGCUGCAUGGUGGGGGUUGGAAAGUUUCGGCGGUUGGGGAUGGACUCGCGGCUUAUCAGCUUGUUGGUGGGGUAGUGGCUUACCAAGGCUUUGACGGGUAGCCGGCCUGAGAGGGUGACCGGCCACAUUGGGACUGAGAUACGGCCCAGACUCCUACGGGAGGCAGCAGUGGGGAAUAUUGCACAAUGGGCGGAAGCCUGAUGCAGCAACGCCGCGUGCGGGAUGACGGCCUUCGGGUUGUAAACCGAUUUCGCCUGUGACGAAGCGUGAGUGACGGUAAUGGGUAAAGAAGCACCGGCUAACUACGUG
rnacentral:rRNA from 1 species